rnacentral:rRNA from 1 species
GACGAACGCUGGCGGCGUGCCUAAAACAUGCAAGUCGAACGCGAUGGCCCUUCGGGGCCUGGGAGUGGCGAACGGCGGAGUAAUACGUAAGCAACGUGCCCUGAAGUCUGGGAUAUACCGGGGAAACCCGGGGCAAUACCGGAUGUGGUCACUGUCUGGCAUCAGACGGUGAUUAAACGGUUUUUCGCUUUAGGAGCGGCUUACGGCCUAUCAGCUAGUUGGCGGGGUAACGGCCCACCAAGGCUUCGACGGGUAACNGGUCUGAGAGGACGACCAGUCCGAGUGGGACUGAGACACGGCCCACACACCUACGGGUGGCAGCAGUUGGGAAUCUUGCACAAUGGGGGCAACCCUGAUGCAGCGACGCCGCGUGGAGGACGAAGGAUUUAGGUCUGUAAACUCCUUUUGCCAGGAAAGACUUAGGACGGUACCUGGCGAAUAAGCUCCGGCUAACUACGUGCCAGCAGCCGCCGU